GACGAACGCUGGCGGCGUGCUUAACACAUGCAAGUCGAGCGGUAAGGCCCUUUCGGGGGUACGACGAGCGGCGAACGGGUGAGUAACACGUGGGUGACCCGCCCUCAGCUCUGGGAUAAGCCUGGGAAACCGGGUCUAAUACUGGAUAUGACUCCAUGACGCAUGUUGUGGGGUGGAAAGCCUUGUGCGGCUGAGGAUGGGCCCGCGGCCUAUCAGCUUGUUGGUGGGGUGAUGGCCUACCAAGGCGACGACGGGUAGCCGGCCUGAGAGGGCGACCGGCCACACUGGGACUGAGACACGGCCCAGACUCCUACGGGAGGCAGCAGUGGGGAAUCUUGCGCAAUGGGCGAAAGCCUGACGCAGCGACGCCGCGUGAGGGAUGACGGCC
rnacentral:rRNA from 1 species